UCUUGUUGAGCCAACACAUCUUUAACCCUCCUUUGCCACAAUCGGAAAUUACCACUUCCAUCGAACUUCUCAACCUCAAAUUUGGCACCUGAGUUAAGAGCCAUUUGAUACCAAUUGUUGGAAACAAGCGAGCAAUCAAAUAGUAAAUGAGUAGAAAGAAAAGAUAAUAAUACAAGGGAUUUGAUAAUGAGGUUCGGCCAAUUGUGCAUACAUCCACGAGAGCAUUGAGGCUAUCACUAUGUAUUAGAGAAUUAGGAUUUGUGUUUAGCUAGUGUUCUCCUUAUUACAUUAAUUUACAUAACAUAAAUAUAUAGCUCUCUUCCCCAACCCCUUUACAUUAGCCCAAGCUCAUAACUUGUAUUGUUGUUAUCUAGAGAAUAUGAGCCACUACACAUCUAGACUAAUACAAUACAUAUUUCAAGCAUCCCCAACAAUUCUUGUUAGUCCAGACUGUGAUCGGGGAGCCUCUAAC
rnacentral:lncRNA from 1 species